UACGGAGGGUGCAAGCGUUAUCCGGAUUCACUGGGUUUAAAGGGUGCGUAGGUGGGUCUGUAAGUCAGUGGUGAAAUCUCCGGGCUUAACUCGGAAACUGCCGUUGAUACUAUAGCAUCUUGAAUAUCGCGAGGUAAGCGGAAUAUGUCAUGUAGCGGUGAAAUGCUUAGAUAUGACAUAGAACACCAAUUGCGAAGGCAGCUUACUUCACGAUCAUUGACACUGAGGCACGAAAGCGUGGGGAGCAAACAGG
rnacentral:rRNA from 1 species